rnacentral:rRNA from 1 species
GACGAACGCUGGCGACGUGCCUAAUACAUGCAAGUCGAGCGAAGGUUUUCUGGUGCUUGCCCUAGAAACACUUAGCGGCGCACGGGUGAGUAACACGUAAAGAACCUGCCUCAUAGACUGGGACAACUAUUGGAAACGAUAGCUAAUACCGGAUAACAGUAUUUCUCGCAUGAGAGAUAUUUAAAAGUUGGUUAUGCUAACACUAUGAGAUGGCUUUGCGGUGCAUUAGCUAGUUGGUGGGGUAAAGGCCCACCAAGGCGACGAUGCAUAGCCGACCUGAGAGGGUGAUCGGCCACACUGGGACUGAGACACGGCCCAGACUCCUACGGGAGGCAGCAGUAGGGAAUCUUCCGCAAUGGGCGAAAGCCUGACGGAGCAACGCCGCGUGAGUGAAGAAGGAUUUCGGUUCGUAAAGCUCUGUUGUUAGGGAAGAAAGGAUAUGUAGUAACUCUACAUGUAAGAGACGGUACCUAACCAGAAAGCCACGGCUAACUGCGUG